rnacentral:lncRNA from 1 species
AGUAGGUUUAGCCUAAAACAAAUAAAAAAGAAAGAAAAGGCCCAGGUUCUAUUUUUGUUACGUGAUCAGAAAAUGAUUUUGCAAUUUAGCACCUGAUCUUCUGAAUAUUUUUAGUGUAGCCCUAAAAUUUGAUUUUUGUACUUAGGUCGUAAUUUAAUUGCAUUUUGUUCCCUAAACUUUAUUUUUUUCUUGAUUUUGAUCCUAAUUUCUUUAAAAAUUAUAAUUUGACCCUAAAAACUUUUUAUUUUUUGCAAUUGAGUCUCUAAUGGUUUUGUUUUCUUAAUUACAAUUGUUUAUCUUCUUUAAAUUGUUAAUCAUGCUUCAUUUAAAUGCAUCUAAUUUAUAAAUUUUAGAGAUUUUAUACUUAUGCAUAUUUCUUUAAAAUAAUAAAGUGAAUUUGCUAUAUGUUUACAUUUUUCUUUUAAAUCGUUAAUUAAAUUGGUGCCUUGACCAUUUUGUUGAUUUUGGAGUAUAAAUAGAGCAAACUCUACUUCAUUUAGCCACUAUUUCACGGGAGGUACCCUCUGUUAUUCUUUAAACUCCCUUUAUGCUCCUAUGUGUUUCCUAUGUGUUUUUAUGUUUGUGAUUGCAUGCUUUAUGUGCUUUUUCUUUUAUUUACUUAUUUUAUUCAUUUUAAGGUUUCAUUUAUUUUAUUUAACUUUGAUAUUUGUUUGGAAGGCAUUUAAAUGCCAAAUUGUAAUAGAUAGGUUAUAUUCUCUUGUGCAAGAAAUGUAAUUAAUUAGAUAAAUGUAGUAGAUAAGUUUAUUAUUAUCUUAUAUUCCCUUUUUUAGAUUGUAAUUAGAACUCUCAAUGUAAUAGUUAGGUUUAUUGCUUGCAUAUUUGUGUGUUUAUGUGCUUGCAUGUUUACUUGCUUUUUUCUAAGAUUUUGCAUCUAGAUAUCGUGCCUAUGUGCUCUAUAUGUUUAUUUGCUUUAAUUAUAUUCUAUAUGUUUUAUUUAUUUAUGAUGAAUGUAUGAUGUCACCACACUAGUUCAACGCUAGUUGUGGUUUUUUCUCCCCGAUUUUCACUAGUCCAACGCUAGUGAAAACUUGUAGAAAUGGGUUAGUCCAAUGCUAGACCCUUUAAGCCAUCGAUACGCUAGAUUCAUAAUUUGGUAUGACAUUUAUUACAUCUCAUGCAUUUUUUUCCUAUUUUUAGGUUAUUUUCAUUUGCAUGAUAUUUUCCUACUAUUAUUCCCUUACCAUCUAUAUGUUUGAACUAUAUCAUUUAAAAUUACAUCUUAUUUUAGGAAAUUAGAAGCAAGUUAGUUCAUUUGCUUGACUAGAUUAGAAGAGUUGCCUUUCAAAUAUGGGAAAUGAGUGAGUAUGAUUUUUUAACCUUAGCAUGAUAUUACCCAUUUAUAAGAAGGAAUAUUGUGUCACGAAUCUUAGUUUCCCGUCCCCAUUAUAUUGCAUUCCCCUCUUCUAGGUCAUGUAUAUAUCAUAAUUUCCUUUUGGAGUAUCAUCUUUUAUAUAUUCGUGACCUCUUCGAGAAAUCAUUCUUGAGCUUCACAAUUAAUGUGAUUUGUACCAAUUAAAUUUCAAAGAGAUAUCUCGUCCCUCUCGAUACCCCCUAGAUCCAGGUUUGUAUCCAUAUAGAAACAUCCAAAUAUGAUAAGUUUUAUAGGUUGGAUUAGGAAAAUGUUUGACUAAAUCUUGCAACUAGCAUUGGCUAGGUUGAAAGGGUGCCUUAUAUCAAAUCUUUUUCUUCCCUUUUUCCAACCCUAACUUCCGAACUCAUUUUCUCUCGUUUUUAAAAACCUGGAGUCGUUUAAAAGGAUUUUAUUUAUUCUUUUCAUUUAAAAUAUAUUUUGGGUGAUUUGGUAUACUUAAAUUCAAUACCAAGUGGCGACUCUAUUUUUUUUUCUAAAAAUCCUUUUUAGAUUAUUGGGUCCAAACCGUCGCAUUUUCUAUGUCCCAUUUUAGAUCCUUUUUUCUUUAUUUUCUAAAAUCAAAAACUCAUUUUUCUAAUACCCUUUUCUAUUUUAUUUUUCUCUUUUAUUUUCAAAAAUGAGGUGCGACAAAUAGGAGGUAAAUAGGUUGCAAAAUUGGAUAAGAGAUUGCGCAAUUUAACAGAAUCAAGGUAGGGUAAAGAGAUAAAAAAAAAGGUAGGGUAAAGAGAAGGUAAAGUUUGUGAGAGGGAGAAGAGUUGGAGGGAUGUGGGAAGUUGGGUUAGGAAGGUAAGGACGAGAGUAACGAGGAAUAGGGGAAUAUUGAGGGGGAGUAACGCAAAAAGAGAAAACAUGGAAAGAAGGGGUAACAAAAUUGUAUUUGGUAUACUUUUAGUAUUUCUUUAGGUAUUUUUAUGAUCUUUGCUCAUAUUUUUUUAAUAUACUUUAAGGUUUUAAAUAAGAUACAUAAAUACAAUAUAAAUUAGAUACUAAAAUAGUGCUCUUUUAAUUUUUUAACCUUUUUUUCAUGUAACAAAUAAAAAUAAUUUAUUUAUUAUUAUUAUUAUAUUAAACGUAAAUCCGUGCAUAGCAGGUGUUACAAUACUAGUUAAGUAUUAACCCUUAGAUUACAAAUGACUUUGAUUUGAAGGUCGAAACUUUAUUGCCUUUCAUUCUUCACAAAAUGAGAAAUGGGUGGCUGUUGGCCUAAUAUGGGAUCAAAAGGAUUUUGAGAAUUGCUUUAUAUAAGUUCAACAUACAGAGAGUUGCCUCUAACUUUUUUUUUUUUAGACAGAAAGAUCUUUAAAUUUGGCUGACUAUGUUCAUUGGACGGAAUGUGGUGGAUUUGUUUGGGAAAAAUAAUACUAAAUUUCACUAUUCGGCCUUGUCCCCAAUUUUGAUUAAUUUCCACUCCCCUGGUUCUUGGGCACCAUGUUCAUUUACUUGUUGAUUGAAUGUUGAUUCAAGAGUUUGUGUGGUUAAUUUCUUGAAACCAAGAGAAUGGUGCAUAAUAAACCAAAAAAAUAGAAUAAUUUAUAUCUAUACCUCACUGAUGAUUACUGUUCAAAUACCUCCCCCUCAAUAUGAGUAAUAAAUAGACCUACUUCCCUAAGCCUCUAAGCCAUGACACCAAAUCCCAAUCCCAGGCCAUAAGCAUCCAAAUCCCAGGCCAUAACACCCUCUUCUAAGUGGCUACUAGAAUGGAAAAAAAUCAGGCUGUAGGUUGGGGCUGGCUGGCUGCUCCUGUCAAUGCUCCACUGCCAGAUAGUGGAUGUAUACUAUCUCUACAUUGACUGCGGUGUACUAUAUCCAUUAAUACGUGCCUUCUGCCAUCUCCAGGCUACCCGCAAACUCUCCUGAAGAUCGGUAUAUUUUGUAGUCAGAAAUAGCCAAAAACAAUGUUAACCAAACUAAUAAAAUGUAGCUUGAGUCGUGCUUAAUAACACUGUUCUAAAAAAUUAUUUCGUGAGGUUGAAAUGUUUCUCCAGGAUUAAACAAGCCUUUUUCUUGUUUAUAACAAGAAGGAUCAAAACUUCAGCAACCAUCAAUUAAAUCCAGCAGAAAGGGAAAGAAGGAGAAGAAGAGAAGUAGAGCAAGAAAGCUGGCAGGAAGGUCUCUAUUGUCACUGUCAGCUGUUGGUAUAUCUCUAAAGUGGAAGCACAGCUGCUAUUUAUAGGCAGCAGCUAGUGUCCGUUGGUGAGAAAUAAUAUCUGAUAACAUAAAAAAGACAUGGCUAAUUUUCUAUGAAACUGAAAGUAAUGUUUAAUUUAUUCUGUGUAACCGAAAGUAACGUUAAAAGGAACGUUAUGAAACAUACCAAAACUUCGUAACUGAUGAAAUAAAAGUUUAUCUUCUCAGGAAAGAGUCAAAUUUUGAUUUGUAAAAUAUGAAGUAAAAUUUAUUCUUGGUCACAGGAAAACUCACUUUGGCCGCGCUUAACCCACGCGCGAGAGGGAAAUCCAUCAGUUUGUACUGAAACGGCCCAACUCAACUUUCCUCUCAUGCGCGCGAGCCCACACUAGUUACUAACUUAACACAAGCCAAUAAGAGACUACGCAUUAUAAAUGAUGAGAAGUCCUUUUAGUUUUUUGAUGUGGGACAAGAUCUUUUGAAAUUUCUCUUUUAUUUACAACAUAUUUUGCUGUCCAGUUUAGUUCUUUCCUAAGUUUAGUUGGAUCACUGUAAACUUCAGCAUAAUCACCAGGCCGACGGGGAAGGUUGUCGACCUUGAGAGGUACUCCUGUGGCCUUCUUGCAGGCCUCCACAAACUCCUUUACAGAUCAACCUGAAAUAGAAAAAUAUGAUUCGCAUAAGAAACGGCUAAUAUGGCCAACUAAGUUACAGGUUAUAACAAGAAAUGUCUUACCUCUCCCUAUUCCAACUUUCCCAGGCUCUGCCUUCUCAAGGGCUUUGACAUGAGCAUCAACAAGAUCAGUGACAUCAAUAUAAUCCCGGAUACAAGUUCCAUCUUCAGUCUUGUUGUCUGUUCCUCUCACAUAUAGCACGUAGUAAUUUAACCAAAAUGAACCCACGAAAAGACACAAUAAGGGUACCAACGAGUCAAGUCAUGUUCAAAUACUAAUAUAUUUGAGCUUGAGCUUGAAGAUAUUUAACCUAACUCAAACUUGAAGUUGACAAAUGUUUAUUUGGGAAAGGGUGCCAACAUUGAUGCUCUUAUAUAAGGGCCGUCUAGACUUUAUAUUAAAAAAAAAAUAUUACACUAUCCCCACAUUUGGUACAUUUGGUACAUAGUAAUGGCCUAAAAAGGAAAGGGGUUUCUAAUUUGUCCAUUAUAUUCCAAGUUUGAUAUAGAUCAUUUAAGUGAAAAAGUUCUUUUCCUCUAAACUACUGUUUUUUUUAGUAGAAUCCCCAAAAUUCAAAAAAUAUCUUGGAAAAACUCUUUCCAACUUUAUUACAAAAUAUCCAAAACAGUAGGAUGUCAAAUUUAUUCUUAUAAAUCUUUUUUUCUACCUCAUCAUAUCGUAGGAUAUUUGUGAGCUCAAUUAGUAAUUGAAUGUAUUUUUUAUAAUAAAUUAUUUUUCUUGUGUUAAAAUAAAAUUUUCUUUCUUACUAGCAAACAUAUGUUUUAAAAUACUUUAUUCUUUGACUUUGAAUAAUUGUGUGAAAUUUUUUUUUUGAAUUUCAUAUAAAAAAUAAGAGCAUUAUAAAAAAUUAAAAUUUUAUCAUAUUUGUUUUGAUUCAUGUAAUUUACAUUGCUAAUUAUAUAUCUUGCGGAUGCAAAACUAUAACAUAAAAAUCUAUAGGCCACAAUGAAUCAAAUAUUACAAUUGAAAAAUUUGAGUACCAAUCCUCAAUUAUUCUAAAAGCAAAAAAUGACUAAAUUUCACAUAAAUAAACCAGUAACAUAGUAGAACAAAUAAAGCAAAAGUAAUAAAAAUGGUAUGUUCUAUAAAUAAAUCCAGAAUAAUUAACUCAAGUUUGUAUUAAUUGUAUUUUAUUCUGGCAUCUAAAUCUUGAUUAUAUCAAACACGGAAAAAUGAAAGAACAAUCUACUCUGUUAGUAUACUAGACAUUGAAAUAAAUAAAAACAAUAAUCUUCCUACCAUUUUUAGAUAUCGUAACCAAAACCUAUUUAUUAUAUCAAACACCGGAAUCAGAAGGUUCAAUGGACAAUCUAGGAAUAUUAUUUUAAGACUUGACAGUCAACUUCAUUGACUAACGUCAAUGAACCAAGGUCAAGUAUACAUUCCUCUGUAAAUAGGAUUGACUUUUCCUUAACCUCGAGUGCAGCAACCCCGUUUUCGAAACUUUCCUAAUAUCUUUCCUAACCGUUUCUUUUGUGGAUUCUCUCUUAGGAAAAUCUGUCCCUAUAUAUUACCUCUUUCUCGAUUCAAGAAUUUAACUUACCUAGCCCAUUCGCCUCUUUUAACAGAAGACAAGAAAAUAUACAGAGUGAUAGAUAAAUGGCUGACAACAUUCCUAUAGGGUUUCGUUUUAGACCCAGUGAGGAAGAACUGAUCUCCCUACUUUGGCUGAAGGUUACAAACCAGCUUGAUGAAACGGACCAUGUGAAGGAGAAAAUACUUUACGGCGAAGGUGCAGAACCGUGGGAUGUUUUGGGGGAUGAUGAUGUUCGUUGGCAAUUCUGUGAUAAUAGCGGAAAAGGGGCUAGUACGAAAAGAAUGGUCUAUGUCUUUACCAAGUUGAGGAAAUUGAGCGCCAAGAAAACUGCGAGAACGGCUGGUUUGGGGACGUGGGACGGAGAAACGAAGUCGUACCCAGUUGAGGGUAUGAUUACUGGUGAGAAAAUUGGGUCAAGGAAGAUGCUAAGUUAUGUUCUGAAUUCUGGUUCAAUAGGGGUGAAAGGUGGCUGGAUAAUGCACGAGUAUUCGCUGGAUGGUGCAUCAUUGAAUGGGUUAAACAGCAGUCAUAAUACUGAUUAUGUUCUUUGUAGGAUAAUAAAGGAUGAUUCAAAGUAUACCAAAGUCAAAGAAUCUGCAACGAAAGGAAAGGUUGCCAAAGAAAAGGAGGUUGGAAAUCGUGGAUGCCGUGAAGUUGUCCUGGGCAAGAGAAAGAUGAAUCUUGAAUAAGAAAGUUCACAAGCGAGUAAGCAGUCAUGUAACAAUCCAAUGGAUGAGUUGCCUAAUUUGGUUAAUUGUGAGUAUGAUGGAUACACAAGAAGCCUACAAACAUAUACAGGUUUGUUGGAUGAUGUUGUGCAGCCAAUCAUCUGUUGGAAUGGCGACCCUUACUUGGGAUCAGUUCCUGAUAUGGUGCACUGUUCCCUUAGAAAUUAAUUUUGUAGUGGCUUACAUUCAAAAAGAAAAAAACUGUAGUUAAAUAUUUGAUUUUGUAGUUUUGGAUACUAAAUUUAUUAGUAGUGGGCUGCGUGUGUGUGAUGAUCACAUAAAACAAGAUGGGUGGAUUUUCAAGAAUAAAGCAACAUGAUCUUGUAGAAUUUGAUUUUAUCGUUUUAGCAACUUACUAUACCAGCAACAAGAUGGAUUCCAUAAAAGGGUGAACAGUUGUAUCGAAAAAGCUGAAGUGGAGUUUAUGUGAUUGUGAUGCUUAGAAAAUGCAAAAAGCAACGAUUUUCAACUGUAGAAAGUACAUAAUCUUUUCAGCUUGAAAGGAACUAGCAAUCCAUCAGCAAAGUAAAUGUUGCAAGUUAUCUGGUACUCGCCUCUAACUCUAAAAGUCAAUUGUCCAAAAUAGUUGGUUUCACAGCAAAAUCUGUCAAAUCUGUAAUGAAGCCAAUGAAACAAGUGAAUUUGAUGCUAUUUAUUUCUGUCAUUUUUCCUUUUUUUUUUUAAAUUUCUUCCAAAGAAUUACAAUAAUUAGAAAUGCAAUAUUACCCUUUCUGCUUCUUCAAGGUUUUGAACAUCAUCUUCAACACAGCUGGAAGAAUGUGAGGGGAGAAGCCAACUUUUAGUGGAUAAAAGCACCUGCAACAUCUUUGAACCCUUUCCACUAAAUGAAUCACGAAUAUAACCUGCUCUGCUAAAUUUAGAUUCCAGAGCAGCUCUGGAGACGGGAACAACUAACAGAUCAUGAGCCAUAUUUGAGAGAAUGGGGAACCUAUGAUUAUUGCCCUUCCACCAACCCAAAACAUCAAAAUAAUCCCAAUCUUGUUCAGUAGGUUCAUCCAGAUACCUCUCCAAAUCUGAUUUUCCAUCAGCAAAAGCAGCAAGAGCUUCCUCCCUUCUCUUUUGAAUCAGAUACUUCUUAAAGUCACUGGGAAAAGAUCUUGCACCUGAUUCAGGUUCUUUCUCGCUAGAAGAUGACUUUUCAGGUACAUAUAAUCUUUUAUAUUCAUCAAACAAGGUAAAAGCAGCCUCUCUCGCAAUUUCUCCCAUUUCUGGAGUCAAAUGUAAUUCUGAAGGUAAAGAUUCAAGAAUUUCCAGCUUGUAUCGAGGAUCAAGGAUAAGGGCAAGGUAGAUUACCAAAUUCAUCUCUUUAUAUUUUCCCCAAUAGUCUGUAUAUUUUCCCCUCAAUCUCCUAGCCAUCGAACUGAUGCCCAUUUCAGUACUGUCUUGCCAUUCACUCAAGAGAUGAUGAACCUCAAACAACCGAGCAAAGAUUGUGUUUGUUGUGACAUGUCUAGAGCAUGAAAGAUGCAAUGUUAGCCCAUACAAGUGCCUCAAUAUCUCGAUAAACCACUUGACCUUUUGCCAAUCAUCUCUGUUAGGCAUACCAGCACCCAUAGUUUCACUUUUACAAUAAGGAUCUGAUUCCUUUUGGUUAAAUUACAACAUGCCAUGUGUGAAGCCAAAAUCCAUCUUUUAAUUCUGCUUCUUAGAUAAUGUGCCGUAUGCAUACUGCUUCAUUACAUUAAUUAAUAAUAUCUUUGAACGGCAUAAUGUGGUAGAUUAUGAAUUUUAACUUUCUUUUAUAUUAAAAAUGUAUAACUUAAAUGCAAAACAAAUAAGAACACAAAAUAAAUGAUUAUCCAAGAAAUGAAUGAAUUUGUGUGAACAAAUUACACCAAAAAAAAAAGUAUUUGUGUGAUCUAAGAUACAAAUAGUUAAUUUCCAACUAUGCAUAUAGAUUUUUAAGUAGUUAUCAGCUCAAUAGUUAAACAACUCAAGUAUAUUGAUAAAUUCCAGUUCUUAGUUUAUGGCACACACAAACAUUAAUGCCAGAUUGCCACACCACUUUUAUUUAUACACCAAGGCUUUCCUAAUAAACUAAAGUUAAAUUCGAUUUGUCAAAGGAAACAAAAUAGAGUUGGUCACGGACAAUCAACUCGAUCCGGACUCCGACACAACUAUUAACCGCCCAAACAUUUAGAAACAAUUAAUUUAGCAACUAACAAAUAAUAAAAUUCUCACUUAAAAAAAUAAAAAGGCUUUUCUAACGGAUGCCACGUGAGCACUCGUUAGCAAAUCUAUAUACUAAUUAACCUAUCAUGUAUAUACAUACACUAACAAUUAUUACUUUUUCUUACAUUUAUACACUUUCCUUAAUUAAUCCAUGCAUUUUUAUGUUUUCCGUAAUUAGUUUUAUAUUUCUAAAAUUCAACACCUGAAAUACAUCUUAACGGAUGUCCAGGCAGGCCGAAAAUAAAAUACUUGAUUUAGCUCCUGCAUUGCCUUCAUUCUGGAAACAGUUGAUCCUCUAUAAUGUCAAGAAGAUGAGAAAACUGAAAAUUUUUGUUAAUUAAAGGACUGUUGGUUGACUUUUACUUCUAUUGCUAUAUAAAAGAUGAGUAAAUUUAUGUUGACCACUGAGCAAGUAUUUAGUCAAUGAACCUCUUCAUAGAUAUUUGGGAGGCAAGGAUACCUUAUUACCACCUUCUCCUAUUGGGCUUAAUCAAUUAGUGCACAUUAUUGCUGGUUCUUGAAAAGUGCAAUAAGCCCCAAACUUUUUUUCCCCUUCUCCAAAAUUUAAAAAAAAAAUUAGGCUUGAACCAUUUAUAUUUGUUCAGUGCAAUCUUAAUUUCAGCAUGUUUUUCAAUGAAUGCAUUGUGGGAUUAGUUUUUCAUUCAAUUAAUAGUUCAAGGGAAAAAAAAGCAAGAAUCAUUUUUGUUUUGUUCUUUACCUAUAACACUAUUAGUGUUUAAAGUGAAAAUUGUUUGAAGAAAUUUUGUAGAAUAACAUUAUAUCACUUUUUAUGAUGUUACAUUUGCGAGGAAAAAAAGAUGAUUAAAAAGAUAAAGAGGUAAUUCAAGAGGGUUAUAAUGUAACUAAAUAAUUGUUUCAAUAGUGAGGUAUCUCCUUUAUCCUUUGAGAAAUAUCCACUUCGAGUUUAAUCUGAGUAGGACAUUUCUAGCCAUAAAUCGACUUUGAUUUCGAUAAAUAGAUCACUUUUUAAGAUACCUUUAUGUUAAAUUUUUAUUGCAGAAAUCAUCUGCAAACACUGGCAAGGGAAAAAUAUCUAAAUAUCAAGGGCAAACAAAUAAGUUCAUUAAUUUAGUGCAGUUUAUAUUUUUGAUGAAAUUUGCAAAUCAUGAGUGCUAAAUUAUGAGUGCUCUAUUUCUGUUUUAGGCUUCUAAACUUUCAUUUUUAAGUGAUAUAUUUAUGUUCGUAUCCAUUCAAAAUAUUUGAAAGUAUUUAUUAUGGAAAAAAUGAUUCAAAAAAUUAGGGAAAAAGAAUGCUAAGAGAAAGGCUAAGGCCGCAAACACUUCUCAAAUUUAAACAUACAAGCAUACAUGCAUACAUAACCACAAACACACAUAAAUUCGUAUAUAUAUUGUACUCAUGCUCCGAAGUGUCUUAUGGCUAGCAACGCAUGAAUUUUGUCAUUCUAGACUAAGAGAAUGGGCAUUAAUUGCAAGUUUCUUGUUAAUGCUGGUUAGCAUAUUAAAUUCUUAAGCCUAGCAACAUAUACAUUUUGCCAUAUUGUGUUACCUAGUAAGUUUGGUUAAGACUGAAUCCAUGCUUGAUAAUUCAAUUUAGCACUUAAAGUUAACGGAUUCAAAUCUUAAUAUGUUCAAAUGCAUUUGAUAACCAAAAAUUGAACAUGUGAAUUGAUUAAGUGGCACUGAAUUUUUUAGACAAAAUUUGUUCCAAAAAAUAAGCGAUAUGCUAUUCAUUUAUUAUUGAAUAUGAUAUACAGUCAAAUAUAUUUGAUUUAAUACUUAACAAUUCAAUAAUUUAAUAGAUUCAUGAUUCAGAUUCAUUUUCAGUUUUAGAUUUCAAUUUUAACAAACGCACCCUAAGUUUAAAAGAUUUGAAGUAUUAAUUUGCAGUUGUUUGCUAAACAGCCUGAUGUUAGUACACAAGAUGUUGGAUCCUUUUUUCAUAAUAAGUAUCCAUAAUGAAUUAACAUUUCUCGCACAUUAUUUUAGUCAUUAACUGUUGACUAAAGGCAAAGAGGUUGCAAGCUUCUUCAUACAUGCUUAUCAUUGCUACCUCUACAUCUAUUUCUUGCCAAGUUCAUUGGCCUUAUUGAAUAGCCCUUUUUUUUUAUCCAAGUUCAUUACCCAAAAAAAAAAAGAAAAAAAUGGGGACUGGAGCAGCCCUUUUGCCUUUGACAAUUGAACUAGCAAUGCUUAAAUGUGAUCCUAAGUUGAUAUUGCAGCUUUGCUGUCUCUCUAGUUCCUUGACAAUUGAACUAGCAAUCAUUCAAUUUAGCCCACCAUCAAUUUAUUUUAUUGACCCUUUUGUGUCGGUAAAAUUGCUCAAAUGGUUCCUAAAAUGUUACAUAUUAGCAAUCACAAAAUGAGGUUAAGACAGUAACAUUCAACAUUCUUUGAUGGUAGUUAGAAUUUGACAAUUGAAAUGCAUUGUUGGAGAAACAUGAAUCUGCAAGAUACACAAAAUUGUGAUGAUGAAGACCAUGAACUAAUUCAGAUAAGCUAAUUACUUCGGAACCUAACACUUCUUUUCUUGCUUCUAAACUAACUAACCAACCCAUCACAAUUCAUUAAAAUUGGUUUUUAAUCUGCAGUGAAUCUUAAUUACUAGCUAAACAAAGCAAAGAAUUACAUCAAACGGGCAUAAAACUAAGUUUGCUACUGUAACACUAUCUACUACAAAUUAAACUACUACUAAAUCAGACCUCCUGAUGAUCAGAUCAUGACACAUUUAUACUCGCGAAUUUAUUAUGAUUCAGAAGAAACUACGCUAAAUUUAAGUCAUUAAUGAAUUGUUGUUGUUUUUUUUUUUUUUUUGAGCAAAUAAUGAGUAGCAGGAAGUAUCAUUAAGCACCUUACGAGUAAGGAGCCAUUAAACUAUGAGCAAUGAGCUCAGUUUGCAUUACAUCCAAGACUCGUGCACUUUCCUGCCUGAUUAAAAUCAUAUCAAAAUAGGCGCAACCAAAACAUGGGUGCAGACGAGAAGACAAAAGAAAAGGAGAUAAAAGAAACUUUACACAAUGGAACACUCGUCUUCAUUCCUCAGCUGCAUUGCUAACCUUAAUCUCCAGAAGCCGUUCAACUGGCUGCCUGCAAAUUGGGCACCUAUUUGUUUGGAACCUCAAAACUUUGGCACAUCCGUUGCACAUACACAUGUGUCGACAUGGAAGGACAGUAGUGUCUCGGGGUUCUGAAAGACAUAUUACACAUUCUUUUCCUGGAUCAUUUCCAUCGAAGUCACUGUCAACUGAAUUGCCUAUCCCAAAUAUUUCUUGCAAUUCAUAGCUCAUGCCAUUGACCCAUAAGAUUUGCUUCACCACCCUGACCUGAUAUUCACCUUUCUCUUUCUCAAACACCGCCUGGGUAAUCUGAGAGUUUGUCGAUCCAGGUUCUGGCUCUGUGUUUCCAUCCGCUGAUGUACUCUGAUUAUCUGCAAAUGCCUCUGCCUUCACAGCUAGGGGAUAAACAUCCAUCUCCCCCUCCUUCAACAAAUCUGCUUCCUCAAACAUUGAGAGGUCUAGGCCAGUUCCAGAGGGCUGUCUAAACUUCUGUGCGAAGCCCUUUUCGAAAGACACCGUUACUGGUGGAAGUAAUCUAUCCUUCAUUGGAGUAAGAGUACAGUCUUCACCUUCUUUUGCAAAGAAAAUUAUGGUGAUGCUCCCAGCAACCGUAGCAUCAAACGUGAAAGCAACAAGAUACUUGCCAGGAUUGGCCUCGUCGGGCUCAAUCCGCAAAGUUUCCUUCUUCAGAUUAACAUCGUUCCGAAUGGUGACCGCCUUCUGAUUCUCCACAAAGGGUGUGGGUGGUUGCAUCAUUGGCCCGCAAGGGUAACGGCCACUGACCCAAUUGGCAUGGGGCGGGUCCAUGCGGUGGUGGUGAUCGUAUGGAGCCGGUAAAGGCACCGGCACAGCCGGUGGCGGUGCCGGAUAGUAGCCAGUGUACUGGUAAUAGGGAGGCGGAGCAUUAGGGUUUGGGUAUCGGGGAGUAAUCUCAGGUUGAGGUGGCUGGGGGGGCGGCGGCGGUGGGUGGGUCCGCCGGCUGCCGCUUCUUCGCCGGUUGUUUACGCCUGUACUUCCAAUAUUACCCAUACUAUUUUCAAACUAAUUGAAAAGAAAUGAUUUCUGUAUAAAUGAAAAAGAAAAGAUUUCUGUGCGAAUGAAAACUAAUAUACAAUUAGGCCGCAGGCAUCAUGAAAAUCGAAUCCUUGACAUGAUCAUAGAGAAGAUUUUUGAUACCGAAAUUUCUUCCCAAAAAAAAAAUUUUGGCUUAAGCGGAAGGAUUCUGCAGGUCAAAAAAUGGGGAAACGAAAGCUUCUGGGUUUUGCAGGGGGUUGAGGUGAAUUGGGGGCUGGAUGGGCAAGAAAGAAGUGUAUCAGUAUUGAAGGUAUGUGAUAAGAACAACUGUUGAAUGCAUAUAAUACGCGGAGGGAGGAAAAGGCGGUGGGAAAAGAAGGAAAUAGGAAGAGAGGAGAAGGGGGAGCAAGGAAUAUUAUGAAUUGAGAGAGAAUUAUGAUGCAGGGAUGGACGGACGGACGUGGGCAAAUUCGGGGGUGGGGGCUGUUACUUUGCCUUGUUGGGUUGGGAGAGGAUCAGGAUAAUGGGAUUGCGUAAAGGUCCACCAGCGCCACAACGACGCCAUCAAUGAGUUCUGGCGGAAAAAAAAAAUGCCAACUUUUCUAUUUUCCUUCACCUUCUUAAUGAAUUGUUGUUAAAAUCAUGUUAUUGAAGAUAAUUUCCAUGUCAAUACAUAACUGAUAAAUUGAAUACAUUAGUGUUGUAUAUGAGUCAAUUGAAGAAGAACAGUAAAGGUCAAGAAUCAGGGGUAGAUACAGAAGAUUACAACCCAAGUAAUAACUCUGCCCUACAAAAGAAAACUUCACAAGAAAAAAUAAAAAAACAACUUCGACCAAAUUCAAUCAGACAAUGUUGAUAUUAUAGAAACAAAGAACUUUCCAACAUCAGAUUCAAAGAAACAAGUCAAGAAGGGUGGACUAAACGUACCUUCCAUUUAGGAGAAACAUAAUUUCCAGCAAUAUUGUUUCUAGGCUAUCCCAAGAACUAGAAAUAUGAAACCCAACUUGACCAAAAUUCAGAAAGUACAAUACAACCCAAUUAUUUCAACUUUGCCUACUGAUUAGACAUGAUCUACAAUGAACUACUGCCUAUUGAUCAAAGUAUAUAUGAUUCCUGAAAGAAUCUUACGAACUUUACACUUUCGAAUGGUUCCAUAGAUGACUAACUAAUAUCUUUGCUGCAUCUCUGACUCAGUUCAUUGCCAAAAUGGCUCUUUCAAUCUUCAGAAAAGCAAAAAAAAAAAAAGAAAAGAAUCUUCUAUCAACGUGUUUUUCAACUACCAUAUCAACAAAAAGGUUGAGACUUAAAUCUCCUAGUGUGCUCUCCAUUUCAGGUCCUUGCAUCUUUAUUGCAGUCACCGGAAGAAUCAGUGCUGCUCUGUCUGAUUUGAUUUACUUGAUCUAUUAUUUUCUUUUUCAUCUAUUCCAUCUGAGCCAUAAUUUCUUGAAGUUCAUGGAGCUCCAAAUCUUCAACUGGGGGCACAUCCCUUAUCAAGCUGGGCAUCAUAAUUGAGUUUGCAAUUGAAUCCCCUAUUUUUUCACCACAUUCCCAUUUGUCUUGUACUUCUGGAUUAGUAGCAUUCUUUUGGCUUCCCCUUGCAGGCAAACAAAUAGCCAAGCCCUUUGCAGAUUCAGAUUUCUGCUUGAUCAUCAUGCCAGGGCUCUUAUCUUCUUUUUCUGCACUAGUCUUCAGUGGCAAUGGUAAUGACAAUUAUGACACCCCGGAUUUUUUAUGUAAGAAGAAAAUAGUGUGAUGACUUGAAAAUUUGCUCAUAUUUUCUUAUAAUUCCAUCUUAUUUUGAAUAAACUAUUUUACAAUUCCUUUACCACUACUUUACUUCCUCAUUAGUUGUAAUAUACAAGAAAAUCAAGAGUUUUACCUUUAGUUUUAUAGUUAACGUAAAUUAGGGUUUUCGUGUAUUUUGGUCGUGUAAUCACUUGGUGAGGUGUGUGUACUGAAUUUGGUGGUUAAGAGUGGGUUUUAGAUAAGAAAAAGUGUGUGGUUAGAAUGCUAUUAAUAAGUUAGUAAAUCAUAAGUUAAAACACUAGUACGCGCGAGUUAAGGAAAAUAGCCUUGAAUCGACGUGCACCGUUUGCUACCAAUUGAGUGCACCACUUGAACACUAUUUUAUUAGCUUAAUCUCCUUGUUAUUAAUUGAGCAAAAUCAGUCCCAAAAUAUCCCUCAAGGCAGCCGAAAUUCUUGACUAAAAGAGUGGGAGAGAGGGAGAAAAGAAAGAAAAAUAAGAAUUAUUCUUGUGGUGACACUUGUUGGAAGCCUAGGAAACUUUGACCAACCAAUUUCCUUCCUUCUUAUCCUUCAUUUUUUGUUCAUCUUCUUCAUUUCUUAACCUUGGUGGCCGAAACUAGGAGAGGGGAAAAGAGAGAAAACCAACUUCAUUUCCAACCUUGAAUCAAUCCUUGUUUGAGUGAAAUCAACAAAACCAAACCGAUUAAACUUACCCCUUGGUGCUGGGAAAGCUUGGUGUGGUGAAAUUUCUGGAAGAUAGUGGUUUGUUUUUCACUUGCAAGAAGCUUUUGGAAGGUAUAAGGCUUAAACUUUUUUUUUCUUGCUUAAUCUUGCUAAGUUUGGUUUAGAAGCUUUUAAUCUUGGCUUGCUACGGUUGAGUUUCUAGUUUUUGAUGGUGUAGUAGAAUUUUCAGCUAGGGUUUGCAUUUUUCAGUUUUGAUUAGUGUUGUUUAACUAGUAAAUGAUGUUAUUGAGUUUGGAAAUGGAACUUGUGAAGUGAUUAUGGGCUUGAGUGGGACUUUGUAAAGUUAGAAGUUGAAUUUUCAGCAUGUGGUAGUGAAAUUUCAGUUCUGCCCCGUUUUUGGUAUUAAAUUGGGCUGCACAUUUCUCCAUAUUUUAGACUGAAUCAACUUUUGGACAAAACAUAAAAGUUGUAGGAAUUUCAGUUAACUUCGUACCUGCAAAUUUCAUAUCAAUCGGAUCAUUUUAGCUUAGGAUUUGGCCAGAGCACUCCUGACUGCGCAAAAAACUCUAAUUUUCCUAACCUGUUUUUCAUGUGCUUCUGACCGUCCCUUUUUGACCCUGAAAAUGCGAGAACUGGGUGUUAAUGUCUCAUAAGAAAUGUAGGUUUAUGUCUUAGCUUCGAAACGUCAUAAAAUUUACCUUGAUCCGAUAUAGUUAGCUGCAGUUAUGACCAAAACACCGAAAGAUGACAAAUAUGCCACUUAUAAUUUCUUCUUUAAAACUAGUUUCCAUCUUUGAUCUUGAUGGUUUCAUUGCUAGAUUUCACUUGUAUUUGGAUGAUAUUGAGCCUAGUUGAAGAGCUAUUUUGUUAAGCUUGUUAAUGUGUUGAAUUUGGGCUGAAUUGAGGAAAAACAAUGAAGUCAUAAGUGGCUGGAAAAUAACUAAAUACAAAGGGCAUGCUGCCCAAAUUUUCACUCGAGGGUUAGGCGUAUGUACUCGCGACUUGAAUGAAGAUUUGAGGUCGAAUUGGACUUGAUUUGUCUAGGGUAUUCGAGUUUUUUUUUGAUAGAGGUAUAUAAGCUGAGAUUUCGCCGGAACUCGUACCCUUAAAAAAGUGAAUGUAGUGACCCUAUAAAAAUACGAUUUUCUCGAUUUUUUAUACCAAGUGUGAUUUCAAAAGUAUAAACCACUUCCUUAUUAAAACUAAAUGAUCGAGCAUGAAGUUUCUAGAGUUUGAUAAGUAACUUGAAUACUAUUUAAACGAGUUUCAUUUACUUGAUCUUCUUGAAGCGAAACUCCUAUGUUUUGAACCCUAGUUGAUUUUAAACUCUUGAAUAAUAUUUUAUCGUAGGUUUGGACUCCAUCCAAGGAGUUGCACCUGAGCGUGACCUUGAAAAACACUAGACCUUUGGUAAGUGCUUCCAAGUGCAUGUUUGUAUUUGAUACUUGCUUUUACAUGUUUUAUUAAUAUGCUUGGAUAAUAUUUGACUUAUUUGGACGGACAAGGGUGUAUUUUAUCGCAGUUGUCCUAAACGUGACUUGUUGCUAUGCCUUGAUGGCACUUGACUUGAUAUUCUUGUCUGAUGUACUUGUCUAUGCGUGAGUACUCUCUGGAAUUUCAAAAACUCUGAAGUUAGUUAAUCGAGUCAAGUCGGCCAAGGGACUGGUCGAUUCGAUAACGAACCCUGAGUUUCUUGUUUUAUCGAGUGGAGUGAUACCUCAUCGACUAAUCGGUAUACUCGAGUUUUACCACACGUGUUUAUUUUGGUGUUCGGACCCGGUAAGGAUGUUGAAUGGUGGACGGAUUGGUGUUAAGCGGAACACUACGGAACUGGUUACUUUACUUGAAAGUUGACGGAGUAUCAACUACGACUUGAUCAAGCUCUGGUGAAGCAACGGGAAUUUGGCUCUUGAGAGUCAUCCGUAUCCUUAUACUUUGAAAUUAUUAUUACUUGUUAUGUUAUUGUUUCUUUUAAAAACUUUACACUCGCUCAUUUUGAGAUUUGCUAUUUGAAGUGUUAUUGCUCACUUUUAUGAACUUGUUAUGUUCGGUACUUUGCUACUUUGAUACUUGCACUUUUAAAAACAUGGUCAAUUUGCUAUUUGGAACCUCACUGAGCUUUAGUUUAUCCUAUUUCGUUAAAUUUAUUUUCCUUACAGGGGGUACGAGUGAGGGCGUGAGACUGGUACACGCUAGCAUAGUCUAGUUUUUGAAUUUUUGCGAUUGUACUCGCACUAGUGCUCGUUUAGGAUUGAAUGUUUCUAGAACUCAAAUUUUUUGUUAUAUUUGGGAUUGUAUGAAUAUUUGAGAUAGAAAUGAAUGUACAUGUAUGUUCCAAGGAUGGGAGCUGUUAUUUUAUUUACGCCUGAGGUUGUAAACUAUUUUAUUUGAAAUGAGUUAGUGAGUCUUAGCGAGAGUUGGGCAGGCGGUCCGCUAAACUCUGGGGUACGCCUUAGGGGGAGGUGAGGUCAUCACAACAAUGUCAAUGAUAAAUCCAACUGAUCAGACAUUGUGUUCUUCUGAUCAUCUUCAUCGUCAUCAUCAUCGAGACUAUUUUCUAAUUCAAUUUCAUCGUCAUCUUCAAGCAGAUCAUAUAGUGCUUGUCGAUCUUCAGUUUUUUUUUAAGAUGAUGAUUUGGCUUUCUUGACUUCCAUCUCAUGAUCAGACAUUUCCUGAUCAACAUUAGCAUCAUCAAGGCUUUCUUCUAUGUCACUUAUAUCAUCAUUUUCAACCAGAUCAUGUACUUCUUCUUGAUCUCCAUUUCUUGAUUCAGAUGACAAUUUGACUUUGUUGACCUCCAUCACAUGAUCUGACAUUUCCUGAUCAUCAUCAUCAUCAUCAUCAUGAGGGCUUUUCUCUGUUUCAUCAAGAUAAUCUUCAGGCAGAUUUUGCAUUUCUUGCUGAACAUCAUUGUCUCUUUUUGCAGUUGAUGAUUCAACUUUCUUGGUUUCUUUGUAGUGCUGGACAAUGGAAUCGACAGAAGGAUUACCAAAGGCAAAGAUAUUGUGAGGACUCGAAUUUUACUUAAUUUUAUUUUAUUUUAUUGGCUUAUUUAAUUAUUUAUUCAGCCGUUUUCUAUGAAUAAUUUAUUUCAACCAUUUUAAAUCCAUUUACAUGGAACAAUGCCUUAAUUAUAUUUUUAAAACGUUCCGUUAGCAAAUUUAAUUUUUCUGUGACCCGUUUAGUAAGGAAUAUCGAAUACACAUUUUUCGAGAUAAUAUUCGAUCUGAGAGUGCAAUAAUCUUAGAGAAUUAAGAAUGAUCAAUAGUAGAUUAAGAAAAGUUAAUUGAGGGAUUAGAUGUGAGUGAGUUCAAAUUAAGCUUUUACCGCGCACGCGUCAAUAGUUUCCCGAAAGUCGCGCCAGUACGACUAAUUGGAGAUUUGAGGAUUUGCUACUAGACUCAUAAGAGUGAGUAAUUACAAUGUUAGAUAAAUUACCUUGAAAGAUUAGUGUAUGAGUGUAUCAAACAAGAGAGAAAGUGAUAGUACGAAACCCUAUUGAGGCACUAUUGAGGGUUGAUUUUUGCACCAACUUAAAGUAGCUUUUUUCAUUCUUUCUCUCCAAGUUUCCAAACCAUAACCACUCCCUCAUCUCUCUCUCUCUCUCUCGGUCGGCCCUAAGGAGGAAGAAGGAAAAAAACUCCAUUCUUCUUGCUUCCAUUUCACUUGCAAAUCAUCAUCCAACUUCAUAGAUUCUUGGGAUUUCAUUCCAUCUUGGAGAAAGAAGCAAUCUUGUGGAGUUUCUUAGAGAAAAAUCUGGUUUUUACCUAGGUUUAAAGGGUAAUCACUCUAUCUCUUUAACCUUUCAAAUUAUAAGAAGAUUAGUGGUUAGUUUCAUGGGUUUGAAACCCUAAUUGCGUUUAUAGGCUAGCGGACUUGAGGAACUUUAUUUCUCACUUUAAAUUGUAGGCUAGUGGUCUUGUCUUGACGAGGAUUGUAGGUAGCUAACUUGAGGCGUUAAUGUUUGAUUGUGGUUGUUUAUGUGAUAUAUAGCUUGAUUUUGGUUAGAAACUGGAGAGAAAGUUGGAAAAGUUGGGAGAGCCAAGCUGGCUGAAAUUCUGUCCGUAUUGUUCUAUUUUCAAUUCAAAAUUUUGAUACUUGGUUGGCUGUUAAAUUGAUGGAUAUAUGUUGUAUUAUGUGUAUAGAAAGUGCCUUUCAAAAAUCAUGUCGAAUGGUCGCACAAAACUUGAGUUUUGGUAAAAUUUGAAUAUGAAAAUUCACUAGCAAGGUAACCGGACAGUGGUUUAUUGUUUGAACAUAACUCUUUGAGCAAAAGUCAAAAUUGAGUGCCGUUAGCGACAUUCAAAACUAGACAUUCAUAGCUUUCAAAUGGUAUAAGAAUCCCCUAUUAGUUCGUUUUGAGCAAACCGUGGCGACUCGGAAAAGUGAACUGUCCUGCUUUGCCAGUCUGUCCGAGAGAAACUGGGAAAUUGCAUCUUGUGGCCCGAUUUUGUUCCACUUCUGAAAAGAUUUUCAAAAUGAUACCUUCUAAUGAUUUGUAGCAUAUUGAACCUAGUUUCCAACGCCAUAAAUCAUUAUCAAUUUGGAUUUGCAUAGAUUUAGAUAUGAUUUGAUUUCGAAAUUGCAACAAAGCUCAAAACUGGAAAAUUUUCCUUUCCCUGCUGACCGAAUGGUCAAGUCUAUUUUGGGAUGUUAUACUUCGAAAAUUUUAGUGUCAUUUACCCAUAAGUUACUCAUUAGAUGUUUCUGGAAUCUUGGUUUCAAAAAUGGAACGAAUUGGGGCUGAUUUCGUUGGACAAAACUUCUGAAAGAGAAAGAGAAAUGGGGUUGGCAGAUUAGCCUUGAAAAAUUUCACAAAGUUUAGUCGUUUCAUCAACUGCCUUCCCGUGUAAGUUUUUACCUUAAUUUUGAUAGAGAAAUAUUUCAUAUAUGGAAGUUUAAGUGUACCAAAUUUGGUGUAAUUCCAAUACCAGUUCGAUAACCAAAUAAUGCCCCAAAGAUUGCUCUUCAAAACUGGAAAUCCUCUAAUCAGGUUGCGAAAAUCAACCAAAUUUAAACUGUUAUAUCUUGUUGCUCAAAACUCCGAAUUUAGUUCUGCUUAUUUUGUUUGAAACUUGGUUUGGAACUCUUAUUGUGGUAUAAAUUUCAGAGGCUGAUUUACUUUUUGUAAAUUUUGCUGAAUUUCCAAACAUUGCUGAAAAACCAAGACUGGUUUGUCCUGUCUUCUUGAAACUGCAACUUUGAGCAGAAAUUUGAAUGCUUUCUAGUUGGAACCUUCAAAAAAUGUCUUCUGGAAAGUUUUAGUACUUUUAAUCUAGUUUCCAACGGUAUAAAGUUUUUCAUUUUUGGAAGUACCAAACUCAAGAUACGAUUUUCCAAGUUUUGUCGCAUAAAGAAGAAAAUUUCCGAUUUCGUAGGAAAUUAGUUUUUAAGAACUUUUCACUUCCUUUCGAUAUUGAUAGUCCAUUUUAAACCCAAUUUCAUGGAGGAUACAACUUGCCAUCAUGAAUUUAAAUCCUCACUUUUAAAUCUUGAUUUUCAAUAGAGUGAAACUCUUCUAAGACAUUGUCUUAAAUUUUAAGCGAGUGUACUUUCUUCUUUGAAUAUUAAGUGAUAUAGCGUAUAAGUGAGUAAUAGUUGGUCACUAUUUCUUCAGGUGCUCAAGAGAGGUUUGAAGGGAAUUCCGGAGCGGACCAUUAAAGACUUUACUUGUUCACUUACUUUUGAUUUAGUGAGUGUCAAGUGCAUGAACUGUUGCUAAAUGCUUAAAUUGUUCGUUAUUAAUUGAGUACUUUAGAAUUGUCGAGACAAGCGUAUACUUUAUCGUACUCAUUCUCUUUUAAGUGAAUUUAUAAUUGAAUUAUAUGAAGUGAAUAUAUAGUUGAAUUGUAUGAAGUGAAAAUUAUAUUUAUGUUUGGACUCAAUGUCGAUUGGAGUGAAUCUCAUCGACUUAUACUUAUAAUAGUGGGGGACGCCCAAACUCAUCGGCCAACCUUGCGACUCGAGUCGGCAUGAGCUUGGUCGGGAAACUUGAUGAACCAUGAGAAAAUCAUAAGGUUGAUCUAUUUGAGAGAUCUCGCUUGACAUACUCGAAUAGUAUCGCCUUAUAUAAAAGAAGUGCGGGCCCGGAUCAGGGGGUGUAACGGUGAACGGCAGUGUAAAAUAAGUGGAGUUCUACGGACGUAAUACUUACCCGGUUGACGGAGUGUCAUCACGUGGAGGUAUUGGAUCGAGUCUCGGCAAAGCAAGUAGAAUCUAACUCCUGAGAGAUCCUGUAUCCUUAUUGAGUGUGUUUAUUGUUAAAUUUUGAAUUACUUGAACUUUAUUGUUUUACUUUCCGUAUCAGUGUUAUUGUUACUUGUCCUAUGUGUUUGCAUGUUUUCUUGGCCUCACUGAGCGUUUGCUCAACUCAUUAGUUUGUUUUUCUUAACAGGAGGUCGGAUUGGAAAGAAUUUUGGGGAAAGUCGACUUGAUUACUUUUGAUUAAGAUCUUGGGAUGUAAUUGACUAGUUAGCUUAUAGUGGUUGUAUUUUGGGAAAGUUGAUGUGCUUCUGAGAACUUGUGAUGUAAGACUUGAAAGUUUGUUUAAAGAAGCGACCUUUCUUUACUUCGACUUUUAUUCUUUAGUUGUUUAUCUUUAAGUUUAGAUUUGACUUGCAUCAAGUCCUGGCGAGAGAUAGACAAACAUUCCGCGAACACCCUUGGGUUCGUCUUAGGAAGAAGUGGGGUGUCACAGAUAUUGCAAGCUUCAUUCUUGGUGAUCAUGGCUACCUCUGCAUCAUAUUUCUAGCCUAGUUCCAUAGCCAUCCUGAACAGCCCUUUUCUCCUCUUACAAAACAUAACUCGUCGCAUGGCCUUGUACUCAAUUUUCUUAAUUUCUAUUCUUCUUUUUCCUAUACUGAUGAUCAAAAAUCAGUAUUUCUUCUUUCUUGAUAGAUGUUAAUUCAACAAGUACUAAGCAUUAUGUUGUAUUUUCUUGAAACUUAGCCCAGAGGACUACCAGAAUUUCUUCAAGUUUCCUUCUAUGGUAAGAAUUGAAAGAGAGAGUGAAAAUCAGAUAAAGAAAUCAAUAGAAUGAUAAUCCAUCGUAUAUGCUUUUUUGCAGCUUCAGUCUGAACCGUCUAAAAAUAGGUCGGUGCUGCUAACCGAAUAACGGCUUUAACAACACAAAUCAACUCCCAGACUUCUUCUUUCUUAAAUGACGACUUUUUAGUUACUCAAACAAUUUUUUUUUGGGCUUUUCAUGUUUUAUAAAGUAAUUAUAUAUAUAUAUAUAUAUGUGUGUGUGUGUGUGUGCGUGUGUGUGUGUGUAUUGCAUGAGAUGUUUUAGUGGAGGCCUCUUGGAUGGCUUCCAAAUCUCCGAUACUUUUUUUCUGGAUUUUUCAUUUAUUUUAAUACAUAAAUUCAAUUAAAAAGUUUGAAAUAGUGAUUUACAACUAAUUUUAUGACAAUUCAAAUUUAAAAUUUAAAAACUUUUUCACUUAAAAUGAGGCCUUAAUAAAUCAUUUAUAAUUUGUUUUUAGACUUUAAUCCCUUUUUCCUUCCAUAAUUAAAGAAAAUAAAUUUGGAUAAUUUGAUUAGUCCCGUAGUAAUAUCAUUCACCCCAAUACAACUUUAUCACUUUAGCCCAUUUUAUUCUUUGAUUAAUAACAAUUGAUUUGUCAAAUCCAAGGAAUAAUAUGAUUAGUCUCAUUUUUUAAUUAUGUACAUAGUAAUAUUUUUAGCACUUUCCUUCUAGGUAUAUACAUAAAUUUGUCAAACAUUCAGGUGACAUAUCCAAUUAUAACAUUCUUUAACCAUUUAACUUAUUGCAACUAAAUCAAUUUUUUAGGCUUAAACUUAUCCUAUUGGGCGAUUAUUCCAACCAAUGAAAUAAACACUCUGACAUACAAUGUCAUCUGGAUAAUUUUUGACUUGCAUAAAACUCUAUCUGGAUAAUUUCUCAUAUACCAUGUAUAUCAAAAAGUCCACAUAAAAUAAAAUUUUUCUAUGAAUUUUAAAUUAAUAAAAGGGGCAUUGAGAUUGUUGUUUUUGGGAGCGUUUAUCAAAAAUUUUAAAACAAAUAUUUGUUUAAACAAUUAUCUUGGGUGGUCAUCACAAAAAAUAGCAGUAUUUCACCAAAAUUAUACCCAAUUACUUUUCCUUGACGACUAUAAUUCUAACUUUUUAUUUGCAAAAAAAAAAAUACUUGAAAAGUGAGUUAACGAAUCCCAAAUAAUAAAAGGAAUAGAAGAAUAGGAGUACAAGACUGGGAAGGGUAAAAGCAAGGUUAUGAAUCCUAAAUAGUAAAAGGAGUAUAGGGUUGGGGAGGUUGAAGUCAAGGGAAUUGUAGUUGUGGGUUGGGAUGAAACUAUCAAAAUGAGUGAUUUAUGUGGGUUAAAUAUAUAUAGUUUUACAUGAUUUUGGUUAUCUUAUCAAUUUACCAUCCGCUACAAAAUUUUAUUUAUUUUUUCUCCCAUAUUCUUUGAGCAACAAAAUAAGAUAUCAUUGUAAAACACAUAAUAAUAAAUAAAUAAAUUUUUACCUAAAAAAUACAUAGAAGAACCAAUAGCGGUGAGUUUCAAAUUUUGCACUCUACAAGAAUCUCAAAAUAAUUUAAGUGUGAAUGCAAGAAAUAAAUUAAUACUCAAUGAGCUAAUUAAAACUUUGAUGAAAGGAAGGUAGGAAGUAGGAUUAAAUGUAACAAAAAUUAAAGAAUAGGUAAAGAACAUUAAAUAUACCUUUGCGAAAAGUAGAAUAUAAUUAUUGUAUUGGUAGCGAUUUAAAUUUACUUACUAAUGAAUUUGAAUCUAAGUCUAAUUUAAUUAGCACUAAAUAAGCAAUCACAAUCUAUCCAUUUAAAAGCCAAUAAUUAAUAAGUUCAAUUGGGUUACCCAUUUGAAACUAAUAAAAUUGCAUAUCCAUACUCAUUUGUUGAAUAACAAGUUGCAAAAUUGGACACUAUUUAUAACUAUAAAUGGGUGGAAAGAGUAGUAGAAUAGUGUACACACCAAAAAUUUUGAUCUUUAUUUUUUAUUUUUAUUUUAAGUAAAAUCAUUUUUGUUUGGUUGGUUUUUGUAGGAAAAUGAAGAAAAUGAAACUGAAACUGAAAAUGUAGUUAAAAAAAAAAUUACUCACGCUCACUUCAUCUUUUGAAACAAAAAAACGAAUGCAAAGCUGGAGCAAAUUUUUGAAGUAGCAAAGUCAAAUUUUUCUUCCCUUUCUUUUCCUCCUAGCAUACUAGUACAAGGAGCCACCUCACCUCUUGCGGGAAUCAUCAAGAAACAUCUAGAAAAGGCCAUUAAAUAGCCCAAAAGAAGCCAGCAAAAAGGAAGAAAGACAUUUCUGGAGUAAGAGGGGAGGAAGUGAAACAAAAAACAGCAAAAAAAAAGGGGGGAGGAAAAGGGAAAGAAAAAUCGAGAAAGAAAAUAAAAAAUUUCUAGAAAAACUUUACAGAAAAGGUUGAUCAUUCGGCCUGCUUGAACCCGAUUUUCUCCUUCGAUACUGCUUCGUUGGAUGAGCUUUUGAUUUCUGCACAAUCUACGAACUUAGUAGAAAAAGUUUUGUUUAGAACUUUUCUGGAAAUAACGUCCAGAAACCCUUCGAAUUUAGCCCUAAAGUUGCUGCUUCGUCUUUGCGCAGUACAUGCUUGAAGCUGCAGCAAAUCUCCUUCCAUUCGCUUUUUUCUGGUUUCAAUCUUGUCCUAAAUCAUCCUCAGGUAUUUCCUCAACUUUUCUCUAUUAGAUUCGAUGUUCAUGCAAGAGAUUAUAGAGUGUUCAUGAAAGUUUAAGUACAUGGACUUUGAAUUUUAUUUUUACAUGAUUUAUGAUGUUUUGGAACCAUAUUUGAUGAUUUGCACGAGUUUAUGAGAUUGAAAGGAUCAUGUGUAUAUCAAAAUCUGACUUUAAAUGCCCUUGGAAAUUUUUUCCAGCGAGAUUCCAACCAUUUUGGCUGGAAUUUUCCAGAUUCUAGUAGAUCGACCCGCUAGAAACUUCAUACCCACCAGAAAGUUCAUACUGAUUUAUUUCCUAUUUAUGUUCCUUAUAUAUUGUUUUUGUUUGUUACGGUUUGAUUCUUCAAAUCCGUUUGGGCUGAUGUUAUUAAAUGCUUGUGAGCCAGAUUAGUUGGGCUUGUUUUUAUUUUGCUUGGGUUUGUGCAUGGGUUUUGAUUUUCAAACCCAACGAUUUAUUAAGGCAUAGUUUAGUAAAAUAAGUUGGGCUGAUCUGUUUUUUUAACAAAACAACUGCUUAUAUUUGUUGGGCCGAAGUAGGUUUAGCCUAAAACAAAUAAAAAAGAAAGAAAAGGCCCAGGUUCUAUUUUUGUUACGUGAUCAGAAAAUGAUUUUUCAAUUUAGCACCUGAUCUUCUGAAUAUUUUUAGUGUAGCCCUAAAAUUUGAUUUUUUUACUUAGGUCCUAAUUUAAUUGCAUUUUGAUCCCUAAACUUUAUUUUUUUUAUUUUGAUCCUAAUUUCUUUAAAAAUUAUAAUUUGACCCUAAAAACUUUUUAUUUUUUUGCAAUUGAGUCUCUAAUGGUUUUGUUUUCUUAAUUGCAAUUGUUUAUCUUCUUUAAAUUGUUAAUCAUGCUUCAUUUAAAUGCAUCUAAUUUAUAAAUUUUAGAGAUUUUAUACUUAUGCAUAUUUCUUUAAAAUAAUAAAGUGAAUUUGCUAUAUGUUUACAUUUUUCUUUUAAAUCGUUAAUUAAAUUGGUGCCUUGACCAUUUUGUUGAUUUUGGAGUAUAAAUAGGGAAAACUCUACUUCAUUUAGCCACUAUUUCAAGGGAGGUACCCUCUGUUAUUCUUUAAACUCCCUAUAUAUGCUCCUAUGUGUUUUUAUGUUUGUGAUUGCAUGCUUUAUGUGCUUUUUCUUUUACUUACUUAUUUUAUUCAUUUUAAGGUUUCAUUUAUUUUAUUUAACUUUGAUAUUUGUUUGGAAGGCAUUUAAAUGCCAAAUUGUAAUAGAUAGGUUAUAUUCUCUUGUGCAAGAAAUGUAAUUAAUUAGAUAAAUGUAAUAGAUAAGUUUAUUAUUAUCUUAUAUUCCCUUUUUUAGAUUGUAAUUAGAACUCUCAAUGUAAUAGUUAGGUUUAUUGCUUGCAUAUUUGUGUGUUUAUGUGCUUGCAUGUUUACUUGCUUUUUUCUAAGAUUUUGCAUCUAGAUAUCGUGCCUAUGUGCUCUAUAUGUUUUAUUUAUUUAUGAUGAAUGUAUGAUGUCACCACACUAGUUCAACGCUAGUU